GCGGGUGUAGUAUAGUGGCAGUACGUGACCUUCCCAAGGUUAAGGCGUGGGUUCGAUUCCCAUCAUCCGCUCCA
rnacentral:tRNA from 1 species